GUGGGGAAUAUUGGACAAUGGGCGCAAGCCUGAUCCAGCCACGCCGCGUGAGUGAUGAAGGCCUUCGGGUCGUAAAGCUCUGUGGGGAGGGACGAACCGCCGGUGGUGCAUAGCCAUCGGCAUGACGGUACCUCCUUAGCAAGCACCGGCUAACUUCGUGCCAGCAGCCGCGGUAAUACGAAGGGUGCAAACGUUGCUCGGAAUCAUUGGGCGUAAAGCGCACGUAGGCGGCACACCAAGUCGGAUGUGAAAUCCCUCGGCUCAACCAAGGAAGUGCAUCCGAAACUGGCGAGCUUGAGUACGGGAGAGGAUCGCGGAAUUCCCGGUGUAGAGGUGAAAUUCGUAGAUAUCGGGAGGAACACCAGUGGCGAAGGCGGCGAUCUGGCCUAGUACUGACGCUGAGGUGCGAAAGCGUGGGGAGCAAACAGGAUUAGAUACCCGAGUAGUCC
rnacentral:rRNA from 1 species